CCUACGGGCGGCUGCAGUCGAGAAUCUUGCACAAUGGGGGAAACCCUGAUGCAGCAACGCCGCGUGAGUGAAGGAAUAUUUCGGUAUGUAAAACUCUAUCAGCAGGGAAGAAGAUGACGGUACCUGAAUAAGAAGCCCCGGCUAACUACGUGCCAGCAGCCGCGGUAAUACGUAGGGGGCAAGCGUUAUCCGGAUUUACUGGGUGUAGAGGGAGCGUAGACGGUGAGACAAGUCUGAAGUGAAAGCCCGGGGCUCAACCCCGGGACUGCUUUGGAAACUGCCUGACUGGAGUGCUGGAGAGGCAAGCGGAAUUCUGAGUGUAGCGGUGAAAUGCGUAGAGAUUAGGAAGAACACCAGUGGCGAAGGCGGGUUGCUGGACAGUAACUGACGUUGAGGCUCGAAAGCGUGGGGAGCAAACAGGAUUAGAUACCCUAGUAGUC
rnacentral:rRNA from 1 species